GAUGAACGCUAGCGGCAGGCCUAACACAUGCAAGUCGAGGGAGGAGCCUUCGGGCUUCGACCGGCGUACGGGUGCGUAACGCGUAUACAAUCUGCCUUUCACAUAGGGAUAGCCCGAAGAAAUUUGGAUUAAUACCUAAUGGUAUAUAGAUGUGGCAUCACCUUUAUAUUAAAGCUGAGGCGGUGAAAGAUGAGUAUGCGUUCUAUUAGCUAGUUGGAGAGGUAACGGCUCCCCAAGGCGACGAUAGAUAGGGGUUCUGAGAGGGAUAUCCCCCACACUGGUACUGAGAUACGGACCAGACUUCUACGGGAGGCAGCAGUGAGGAAUAUUGGACAAUGGUCGGAAGACUGAUCCAGCCAUGCCGCGUGCAGGAAGACGGCCUUAUGGGUUGUAAACUGCUUUUGCAGGGGAAGAAUAAGGACUACGCGUAGUUUGAUGACGGUACUCUGCGAAUAAGCAUCGGCUAACUCCGUG
rnacentral:rRNA from 1 species